GAGUUUGAUCGUGGCUCAGGAUGAACGCUAGCUACAGGCUUAACACAUGCAAGUCGAGGGGCAGCAUGGUCUUAGCUUGCUAAGACUGAUGGCGACCGGCGCACGGGUGAGUAACACGUAUCCAACCUGCCGUCUACUCUUGGACAGCCUUCUGAAAGGAAGAUUAAUACAAGAUGGCAUCAUGAGUCCGCAUGUUCACAUGAUUAAAGGUAUUCCGGCAGACGAUGGGGAUGCGUUCCAUUAGAUAGUAGGCGGGGUAACGCCCACCUAGUCCUGAUGGAUAGGGGUUCUGAGAGGAACGGUCCCCCAACUGGUACUGAGACACGGACCAGACUCC
rnacentral:rRNA from 1 species